AAUCAACGCUGGCGGCGCGCCUAACACAUGCAAGUCGAACGAGAAAGUGGAGCAAUCCAUGAGUAAAGUGGCGUACGGGUGAGUAACACGUGGAUAACCUGCCCUUUAGUGGGGAAUACCGCUGGGAAACCGGCGACAAUACCGCAUAAGCUCGAGAGGGGAAAGCAGCAAUGCGCUGAAGGAGGGGUCCGCGGCCGAUU
rnacentral:rRNA from 1 species